GUUAUCGUCUGCUACUUUGUUUGUCCGGUUAGGAGAGAAUUCGUCGAUGAUGCAGGACAGGGGAGAAAUAUACAAUUUGAGGACAAGUUUUGCAGCGUAAGGGUGUGGCAUCUGCGCCACGCAAAUGAUCUUUAUUAAAGCAUUGGCGUCAGGAGGUGGAGACGGUAUCAUAAAAUUGUCAGAUUUUUGUAUCUAUAAUCGCAAAUGUUGGCGAUUUUGUUUUGCUUUGACGGGGCCCGUCUCCUGGUUUGCGUGCGCGUCAUCGGCAGGAUGAGGUCGUAUUUUUGUGUCUGCUGGUUUGCCUGUCAGAUUCUCAGGAAUUCAUUGGAAAAAAAAACGGAAUUGUGGAAAUUAUACAAUUUGGAGACGGAUUUUAAUUCUUUUUAAUUUGAUGUCAGCUCCGGGAUAAUGAUCCUUGUUAGUGCAGUGGCAUCAGGAGGUGGAGACGGCGUUGGCUCGUCUUCUCUUGUUGGUUGCUUUGGAUCACCAGUUGGCUGUGUUUAUUGAGGUUUAGCGUCUCUAAUGUAGGCGCUCGUCGAUCUGAGAGAAUUUAAGAGUAGUGGAAAGGAUAGAUUUUGCAGCUCCGCGCUGAGAGCCCUGAACGAAGCGUAGGCAGCUUAUAUGGCCCGUCUAUUGCAGUGCAGCACUGCAAGUGGAUUGCAUCGGAGAUAAGGGAUACUUUUUUUAACAUUUCAGGU